rnacentral:rRNA from 1 species
UGAGGAAUAUUGGUCAAUGGGCGAGAGCCUGAACCAGCCAAGUAGCGUGCGGGAUGAAGGCCCUUGUGGUCGUAAACCGCUUUUAUCAGUGAAUAAAGUGCAUCACGUGUGGUGUCAUUGCAGGUAGCUGAAGAAAAAGGACCGGCUAAUUCCGUGCCAGCAGCCGCGGUAAUACGGAAGGUCCGGGCGUUAUCCGGAAUUAUUGGGUUUAAAGGGAGCGCAGGCGGGAGUGUAAGUCAGCUGUUAAAUAUCAGGGCCCAACUCUGUUAUGCAGUUGAAACUAUAUUUCUUGAGUACGCACAGGGAUGGCGGAAUUCAGGGUGUAGCGGUGAAAUGCUUAGAUAUCCUGAAGAACUCCGAUCGCGAAGGCAGCCAUCCGGAGCGUAACUGACGCUGAGGCUCGAAGGUGCGGGUAUCGAACAGGAUUAGAUACCCUGGUAGUCCGCACGGUAAACGAUGAAUACUCGCAGUUCGGUCAUUAUGAUUGAGUUGUCCAGCGAAAGCGUUAAGUAUUCCACCUGGGGAGUACGCCGGCNACGGUG